CAGUCGAACGGAGAUAUUCGCUGAUGAAGUACUUCGGUAAUGAAUCUUGGAUAUCUUAGUGGCGGACGGGUGAGUAACGCGUGAGCAACCUGCCUUUCAGAGGGGGAUAACGUUUGGAAACGAACGCUAAUACCGCAUGACAUUAUCUUAUCGCAUGGUAGGAUAAUCAAAGGAGCAAUCCGCUGAAAGAUGGGCUCGCGUCCGAUUAGGUAGUUGGUGGGGUAACGGCCCACCAAGCCGACGAUCGGUAGCCGGACUGAGAGGUUGGACGGCCACAUUGGGACUGAGACACGGCCCAGACUCCUACGGGAGGCAGCAGUAAGGGAUAUUGGUCAAUGGGGGAAACCCUGAACCAGCAACGCCGCGUGAGGGAAGACGGUUUUCGGAUUGUAAACCUCUGUCCUCUGUGAAGAUGAUGACGGUAGCAGAGGAGGAAGCUCCGGCUAACUACGUGCCAGCAGCCGCGGUAAUACGUAGGGAGCGAGCGUUGUCCGGAUUUACUGGGUGUAAAGGGUGCGUAGGCGGCUUGGCAAGUCAGUAGUGAAAUCCAUGGGCUUAACCCAUGAACUGCUAUUGAAACUGUCGAGCUUGAGUGAAGUAGAGGUAGGCGGAAUUCCCGGUGUAGCGGUGAAAUGCGUAGAGAUCGGGAGGAACACCAGUGGCGAAGGCGGCCUACUGGGCUUUAACUGACGCUGAGGCACGAAAGCGUGGGUAGCAAACAGGAUUAGAUACCCUGGUAGUCCACGCUGUA
rnacentral:rRNA from 1 species